GACGAACGCUGGCGGCGUGCUUAACACAUGCAAGUCGAACGGUAAGGCCCUUCGGGGUACACGAGUGGCGAACGGGUGAGUAACACGUGGGUGAUCUGCCCUGCACUUCGGGAUAAGCCUGGGAAACUGGGUCUAAUACCGGAUAGGACCACUGCCUGCAUGGGUGGUGGUGGAAAGCUUUUGCGGUGUGGGAUGGGCCCGCGGCCUAUCAGCUUGUUGGUGGGGUGAUGGCCUACCAAGGCGACGACGGGUAGCCGGCCUGAGAGGGUGACCGGCCACACUGGGACUGAGAUACGGCCCAGACUCCUACGGGAGGCAGCAGUGGGGAAUAUUGCACAAUGGGCGCAAGCCUGAUGCAGCGACGCCGCGUGAGGGAUGACGGCCUUCGGGUUGUAGACCUCUUUCAGCACCGACGAAGCGCAAGUGACGGUAGGUGCAAAAGAAGGACCGGCCAACUACGUGCCAGCCGCCGCGGUAA
rnacentral:rRNA from 1 species